AUGCAAGGGAGGGGUCUUUCUAGGUCCCUGCUGUCGAUGGGAGCUGCAGAUGACAGCGAGGGAGAGGAGUCUCAUUCACUCGGAGCAGUCAGGUCAAAAUGUCACGUUCAAAAGCUUGCAAUGACAUGGGAUAUAAUGUACAGUACCCUUGCGUUUACGAGAAAUGUGUUCCUCGAUUGGGUGCCGUCAUCCUCAUCAGCGUCAAUCUUCACCAUUAUUACCGUCAUCCUCAUCAGCGUCAAUCUUCACCAUUAUUACUAUCAUCGUCUUCAUACUUCUGUAAUGAACCGUCUCCAUAUCUGUUUUAUACAGCGUUUCCACUGUUAAUAAUUUUAUACAGCGUUUCCACUGUUAAUAAUCUCAUACAGUGUUUCCACUGUUAAUAAUUUUAUACAGCGUUUCCACUGUUAAUAAUCUUAUACAGCGUUUCCACUGUUAAUAAUCUAUGUCAAGUGAGCUGCUCUCCCUCUACCUAUGUAAAAGCCAAAGGAUUCUCACAUCAAAAGCUUUUACUAUAUUUAGCUAAAUGUUACAUUAAGUACAUAGGCCCCGUCAUUAUUGUAGGGAACUAUCAGGGAAUAAUUUACGCAAUUAUAUUGUAGUACGAAUGGUAAAUGCACUCUGUUACAUAGUACUUACUAUUGUGAAUUCUGUUUUCCAAGAAAAUACAAAAAGAGGCUUACAUCAGAUAAUCCACUAGUAGUUACUCUGUUCUAAAGGCCUGUGCACUGUCAGGUGCGACCCUUUAUGUGUUAAAUCGUUAGAUAAAUGUAUACAUUUCACCCAGAAUAAAACAAGCUGAGAGAACAGACAAGGGAAACAUAAAGGGACCUAAAAGGCAAGGGCAGUGACAUCACGCAUGUUUAAGUUUUGGAGCCUGUUCUACAGCAAGAGGAUAAAAAGCAAUGUGCUCAUAACUGCUUAAUGUGGUUACAUUUCACAUCUCGACUAGGGCAGUUACAGCGUGUGACUACAUACUUAUUCUGAUGGCAACAUUAUUGCGCUCAGCAGCUCCUGUGGUUGCGUGUCUGUCUUUCAGAGCUGCAGAAACUGGAUUGAGCCGAGGGAGAGUAGAGCGGAGUAGAGCAGGCAACACUCAAACCCAGAUCUGGAGUUUUGGCUUGAAUUUCAAAUGGAGCUGCCCAUCUUUAGAGCACACAAGCCACUCUGAGAGGUAGGCCUAGCCUACGUUCCAACAUAAUAUAGGUAUAAAAUGAAACGUAGUAUAUUAUGUAAGCUAUUCCUCUUUUCAAUUGGAAUAUUUCCUCCUGAUACCAUGCUAUAAUUCAACAUUUGUCUAUUGCAAAAUAAUAGUGAUUU
rnacentral:lncRNA from 8 species